rnacentral:rRNA from 1 species
AUUGAACGCUGGCGGAAUGCUUUACACAUGCAAGUCGAACGGCAGCACGGACUUCGGUCUGGUGGCGAGUGGCGAACGGGUGAGUAAUGUAUCGGAACGUGCCCAGUCGUGGGGGAUAACGUAGUGAAAAUUACGCUAAUACCGCAUACGAUCUAUGGAUGAAAGCGGGGGAUCGCAAGACCUCGCGCGAUUGGAGCGGCCAAUAUCAGAUUAGGUAGUUGGGGGGGUAAAGGCCCACCAAGCCAACGAUCUGUAGCUGGUCUGAGAGGACGACCAGCCACACUGGAACUGAGACACGGUCCAGACUCCGACGGGAGGCAGCAGUGGGGAAUUUUGGACAAUGGGCGAAAGCCUGAUCCAGCCAUUCCGCGUGCAGGAUGAAGGCCCUCGGGUUGUAAACUGCUUUUGUACAGAACGAAAAGGUUUCUACUAAUACUAGGAGCUCAUGACGGUACUGUAAGAAUAAGCACCGGCUAACUACGUGCCAGCCGCCGCCGUAA